rnacentral:lncRNA from 1 species
CGUGUCUCCGGAUCCAUGGGAUUUCCUUGAUCGGCUCUGCCCCUGUGGAUUCCUGCUGAGCUACAAUACGAAUUCAAGACUCCUGGCCAUCUCCAUAUACCCUCUGCUUCAGAGACAUUAUUAAGCUACUUAUAAUUAGGAAUAAUAACGCCUGCAGAUGCAUUUUAAUACAACCCACAAAAGGAGCUGUGUGGGUUUCUUCGUUCCCCAGCACGAAAGCAAACAACUCUUCCCCUGUUGUCUAGAUCCAACUGCUUCACUUUCCAACAGCUGCUCUGACAGAUGAGGGACAGGCAGAAGGUCAGAGUGAGCUGACCGACUUCCAGGCACAAAGGACAAAAGGAUCUGAAAUGUGGAGGGACUCAUUGGAGGUCCCCGGCAGCUGGCUGAAUUGUCUGGCUCUACACAGUGGGGAAACCGUGAGAAAGAGGGAGAUGUCUCCUUUCAAACCUGGGCACUGGAACUUUCCUGGCUCUGACAUCAUCUUUUUUCUUCUUCUUUUUUAGUUUUAUUUUACUUUAAGUUCUGGGAUACAUGUGCUGAAUGUGCAGGUUUGUUACAUAGGUAUACAUGUGCCAUGGUGGUUUGCUGCACCCAUCAAGCCAUCAUCUAGGUUUUAAGCCCCAUAUGCAUUAGGUAUUUGUCCUAAUGCUCUCCCUCCCCUUGCUCUCUAACCCCCAACAGACCCCGAUGUGUGAUGUUCCCCUCCCGGUAUCCAUGUGUUCUCGUUGUUCAACUCCCACUUAUGAGUGAGAACAUGUGGUGUUUGGUUUUCUGUUCCUGUGUUAGUUUGCUGAGGAUGAUGGUUUCCAGCUUCAUCCAUGUCCCUGCAAAGGACCUGAACUCAUUCUUUUUUAUGGCUGCAUAGUAUUCCAUGGUAUAUAUGUGCCACAUUUUCUUUAUCCAGGAUUAUAAAUCAUUCUACUAUAAAGACACAUGCAUACAUAUGUUUAUUGCAGCACUUUUUGCUUUUUUACAAUCAGCCUGCCAGAGGCUGGUCCACAGAUUGUGGAAGCAGAAAGUGACCUUCCUCUCAUCUGGUCCAACUCCCUCAUUUUGGAAACUGAGGCUUGGAAUGAGGAAGAGAUUUGGCUUCAAAUGUCAGUAGCCAAAGACUGGGCCCAAGGUAAUUGAAAUAUAAAUAAUGCAAUGAUCAUCUGCCCUCCCAGCAUUCCCUCACGACAGCACCCAACUCUAGCUUUUGAUGAAGGAGCCAAGACCCAGAGAGGUGGCAUCAUUUACCCCAAUGGCAUCGUAUGACCAGCACAAUGAAGGAAACCAAAGGGGUAUUGUGACUUUUCCUCCCUCUUUCCCCUCCUUCUUUUGUUCUCUCCCUUCCCUUUCCUUCCCUUCCCAUCUCUUCCUUCCUUCUCCAUUUUCCUUCCCUCCCUCCAAACUUGUCUUUCUCUCUUCCUUUCUUUCUCUUCUCCUUCCUUCUUUCCUUUCUCCCUUUAUUAAAAAAAAAAAAAGGUGUUCUUUUUCCAUCCCACAGAUUGGAUGAAAAAAAAAGUUUAAUGCAUUUCAAAAAUAUUCAUGCUCAAGGAUCGUUCAAGACAUCUGGACCUUUUAAAAAGUUGUUACAAUUUUAAUAAAUAGGAUGUAUUUUAAAAUAUGUGAAAAAGACAUUCCAUUUAGUUAAGAUCAGAAACUCGUUAAAUUGCCUUUAAGAUC